rnacentral:rRNA from 1 species
UUCAGAGACAUAUCUCCCUACAGCCCUCUCCUGGUUUCCCACUGAUGCUAAGCAGGGUUGAGCCUGGCCAGUACCUGGAUGGGAGACCUCCUGGGAAAAUUAAGGAUGCUGCUGGAA